rnacentral:lncRNA from 1 species
GUUUGAUUAAUUAACAUAUUAAUUAAUCCUUGCCAUAAACAAUUAAACCAUUUAAUUACUCUUACUCAUCUCCAUUGUUUCUUCAAUCUCCACCUUACACGGUGUACGAUCCAUUAGGUUCAUUUUAGCGAGGCAGUGGCCGAUUAGAACUCUUUCAAAUCGAUUGUGAACUGAAACUUACUUUCAAUUCUCCCUUUAGU